rnacentral:rRNA from 1 species
UACGGAGGGUGCAAGCAUUGAUCGGAAUUACUGGGCGUAAAGGGCGCGUAGGCGGCAAGAAAAGUCAGGUGUGAAAUUCCGGGGCUCAACCCCGGAGCUGCAUUUGAAACUUUCUAGCUAGAGGGAACUUAGGGAAAACGGAAUUCCACGUGUAGCGGUGAAAUGCGUAGAUAUGUGGAAGAACACCGGUGGUGAAGACGGUUUUCUAGGGUUUACCUGACGCUGAGGCGCGAAAGCUAGGGGAGCAAACAGG